rnacentral:rRNA from 1 species
AGCGGCGGACGGGUGAGUAACGCGUGGGCAACCUGCCCUAUACACACGGAUAACAUACCGAAAGGUAUGCUAAUACGAGAUAAUACAAGAGAUUCACAUGGAUUUCUUAUCAAAGCUGAGGCGGUAUAGGAUGGACCCGCGUCUGAUUAGCUAGUUGGUAAGGUAACGGCUUACCAAGGCGACGAUCAGUAGCCGACCUGAGAGGGUGAUCGGCCACAUUGGAACUGAGACACGGUCCAAACUCCUACGGGAGGCAGCAGUGGGGAAUAUUGCACAAUGGGCGAAAGCCUGAUGCAGCAACGCCGCGUGAGUGAUGAAGGCCUUCGGGUCGUAAAACUCUGUCCUCAAGGAAGAUAAUGACGGUACUUGAGGAGGAAGCCCCGGCUAACUACGUGCCAGCAGCCGCGGUAAUACGUAGGGGGCUAGCGUUAUCCGGAUUUACUGGGCGUAAAGGGUGCGUAGGUGGUCUCUUAAGUCAGGAGUGAAAGGCUACGGCUUAACCGUAGUAAGCUCUUGAAACUGGGAGACUUGAGUGCAGGAGAGGAAAGUGGAAUUCCUAGUGUAGCGGUGAAAUGCGUAGAUAUUAGGAGGAACACCAGUAGCGAAGGCGGCUUUCUGGACUGUAACUGACACUGAGGCACGAAAGCGUGGGGAGCAAACAGGAUUAGAUACCCUGGUAGUCCACGCCGUAAACGAUGAGUACUAGGUGU